rnacentral:rRNA from 1 species
AGCGAACGCUGGCGGCAGGCCUAACACAUGCAAGUCGAACGAAGUCUUCGGACUUAGUGGCGGACGGGUGAGUAACACGUGGGAACGUGCCUUUAGGUUCGGAAUAACUCAGGGAAACUUGUGCUAAUACCGAAUGUGCCCUUCGGGGGGAAGAUUUAUCGCCUUUAGAGCGGCCCGCGUCUGAUUAGCUAGUUGGUGAGGUAAAGGCUCACCAAGGCUACGAUCAGUAGCUGGUCUGAGAGGAUGACCAGCCACAUUGGGACUGAGACACGGCCCAAACUCCUACGGGAGGCAGCAGUGGGGAAUCUUGCGCAAUGGGCGAAAGCCUGACGCAGCCAUGCCGCGUGGAUGAUGAAGGUCUUAGGAUUGUAAAAUCCUUUCACCGGUGAAGAUAAUGACUGUAGCCGGAGAAGAAGCCCCGGCUAACUUCGUGCCAGCAGCCGCGGUAACAC